rnacentral:lncRNA from 1 species
GAAGAGCUAACAUAGUUGUGAAGGAAUGCAGGUAGCUUGGGAGGGAUAAUGUAGGCUCAACAGAGGCAGGGUUAAUGGAGCUGCCCUCGCAGAGCCUUGCUUGUCAGAGCAGCAAACAUUCUCAGGUGAUAUUUGAUGCCUUUCCUUGUCUUAUUUAUGUUUGUGUUUCACAUCUGUCUAGGUAUUGCUGUCUAGGUAAGAGAAUGAAUGCAUAAAAGAAAACUAGGUCAAUACUUUGUGUUUUGAAAAAGAAAUUUAUAGUUAGAGGAGCAAAUACAUUCAACUUACAUUUUCUUCAGUUAAGGUUUUCACCCGUGCUCUGAGAAAUGAAUCUGUAUUUCAAUAGCUAUGUAUUAUUCCCCAGAAAGAUGCACUUUAUACGUUUAAGGCCUUAAGAGUUUUCUAUAGCUACAUUGUAUUACCACAGAAACCAAAUAGGUUUUUAGUAAGCUGACCUAGUGUCAGGAGUAGCUUUUCUAGAAAAGAUGAGCUGCAGGUUUCUGUCAGCUGUAUGGCAGUGUGGCGGUGCUGACCAGGUCUCCAAGAGAUGAAAUAAGUGUCCAGUAUUUAUUUCUGAAAGUUUUUCACCUAAUGUAGCAUUUUUUUUUGUCUGAAAUGUGAGAAAAAUUUUAGAAUGCCACCACAGUAGGUCUGGACUGACUUUGAGUAGAACUGAGCCAUGCUGCAGAGCCGAGCACGUCCUGCUGUCUCCUACCGUGCUUCACUGUUUUUAUAUUACAUGUAUGUAAAUCAGCACAUGUGUGGACCCUGAUUUUUCAGUUUCACUGUUUAGCUUUAGAGAACCUAUGCGUAAUUCUUAGUGUAUAGUAGAGUAAAAUCAGCCUCCCUCUUUCCUGUGAGUAUGAAAACUGUGUGCCUGCAGCUGCUCACUGAAGUCCUUAAAUGGAUAUGAUCUUGCCUUCUUGCAAAGCAAGAUGAAACACUUCUCUAGAGCAAAUCUCCUGUUGCUUAAAAUGUUAGCUAAAACUAACUGGAAAAUAUUUUAUCAAAGAAAGUCUAUAAAUAUUAUUUAAGGACAUAUUUACCACGUAAAAGUAAAGUGCAGACUAUCUUAUUGCAAGAAUUCCCUGUCACUGUGUGUAGAGGCAAAAGCGUCAUUGUUUGGUACUUUCCGCUGUACCUUAAGACAGUUUUCUUUCUGUCUUUAUAUGAUUAAAAAAAAAAAAGGUCACAUUAUCAGCUGCAAAUAACUGCUAGUAAUAUGAAACCUUAGAAAGUGCAGUGGCUUAUAGUAGCUUAUCAAAGGUGGCAGGUGGGAAGGGCAGAGGAGGUCUGGGAUGGAGCCAAGUUUACAUUAUAACUUCCAGAAUGAUUGGCAUAUUGGAGGGCAAAGCCAACAGUUGGAUUUUGCUCUGAUACAACUGCAUAUGUUAACACAUCAGUUCUGAAGGUAAUUAUUCAGGGCUGUAACUAUUUUUCCAAAGUCUGCUUUGUCUGUCAAAUAUAUGUAUUUAUUUGAGAAUAAAGCUUAGGAACAAUAGAACUGAUAAUUCUUGGUUGGAGAAGAUAAGGAAUUGCUGCAGACCAACAUAUCAUACUUAUUUUACAUGUUUGCAAGGUGAUUUUAAAAAUACAUAUUUCACAAACACACACCCAAGGAAGGGACUAUAGAGUCCUGACAGUUGAAAACUGGAAUCUAAGUCACAUUCUGUAGAUGUGUAUGAGAAAUACUAUCCUUUACUUUUGCUGUGCUGGUCAUGAUGACUCUGAUGGAGUUUUAGGAGGUAGGUUUGUUUUUACCAAGAUUCCGUAAACACAGAUUGUUUAGUAGAAACACUGGUCAGUUAUUGAGUGUUGCUAACAACCUGCUCCACUUGAGUCUUGGAAAACUUGUACAACUACUUGUCAGUCUUCAUUUGGAAUCCCUUAUCACUGGAGUCCACAUUGGGCACAUGACACAAAGAGAUGUGUGGAAUGGUAUUGCAGCUGAGGGUUAGCAGCAAGAAGUGUAUCCAGUGAUGGUCCCAGACUGUGGCAAGUUAUCUGUUUCAUGUUAGUGCUCAGUGUCCUUUGCCUUCAGAAAGUGAACUGGUGACAUGGCCGUGGGUAGCCAUAGCUCAGGCCCUUGAACAUGCUGUGGAAACAGUUACUUGUGAUUUUCACUAAGCUCUCAGUGAAAUGUUUGUUUAUUCAGUUUUGUUUUCUGCAGAGCAGGCAGAUUUAUUAAGGGAAAGUGAGAAAAACUCCCAACAGUGGGAGGAGCUGAAGUGAGGAAAGCACUGUUCAUUCAUUUUUUUACUGUAGACUAUAAGCUACUAAAAUGCUAGCAGUGCAUUUGGCUCUUGCUAAUAAUAAUUUGGCAGAUAAUGUUAUAGGGUUUAGUGUCAAUCUGUGGAUUCUCCAUCCGUGGGUCCAUCCAACAGCAAAGGGAAAGAGGACAAGGUGCAUUCCAAAUGUACACAGACCCUUUCUUCUACUAUUCCAUAAAUGAUAAUUUGAUAUCUACUUACAUAUAAUUUCCAUUAAAUUCAAUAUGUCCUGUAGAAGUGAUUUACAGUAAAUAGGAGGAUGUGGAUAUGUUUUGUGAAAAUAAUGUGCCAUCUUUAUAAGGCCUUGAGCAUGUGCAGAUUUUAGAUUCAGAUUAAGAUCUGGAACCAACCCCCAAAGAUACCACAGGAAAUCUAUCAUGGCAACUUAAGACUUUUUGAAAUACUGCAUUUAUCACUACUUUGAAAUUGCCAUAAUUAGGCCUGCUAAUAUUACUUAAUGUAUCAGUCGAGGUGUGCAUACUUGUUUCCUAGAUCUUUGGAGGUAGCAGCAGGAGGAGAAUGAGUUUCAAGGUCAUCCUUAGCUAUGUAGCAAGCCUAAGACCAGCCUGGGCUACAUAAAACCCAAAAAUCUAAUUUAAAAAAAUGUAAUGCACCGACAAGGCAUAUAUAUAUAUUACUAUGUCACAGCAUUAAAGAUUUUUUUCCAAUCCCACACACUUUACCUUUUAAAUGAAUAGUUUUCACUUUAUAGAGUUGUGGCAGAGAUAGUGCAGUGCUUCUAUAUACUCUCCAUCCAGCUUCUCAUUUUAGUGUUCUCUGUUAGUAUGGUCUGUCUAUCUCAACAGUUGUCCAGAUGCUGACAGGUAUUUUCAGUAAUGUCAUUGCUCAAUAUGGAUUUCUCAUAUUUUCCUUAAUGUCUCUCUCUCUUUUUAAAAAGCGAUAUUUAGUAAUCAUGUCUCUUAUCUGCAUACUUGUUUCUAACAACGUCCCCAAACUUCCAGUUUAAAUGAUCCUGGUAGUUUUGAAGAAUAAUAAGAUAUUUUGUAGCAUGUCUCUAAGUCGUGAUUGUUUGAUGUUUCUCUCAUGGUUAGGCUGGUUUCUGUGUUUCUGGUAUGAAGGUGAGAGGGGUAAGAGUGCUUCAUUGUGUUCUCUAUCAAGGGUCUGUUAAGCUGACAUAAUGAUCACAGUUGUUAACCUUGAUCAUCUAGCACAAGUGUAGGCCUUUUCAGGUUUCUUCCGAGGAAAAGUUACUCUUUUUCCUCCUUCAGAACUGUUCUUUGGAAGUGUAAAAGUGCAGGCCUCUUUUCCUCUCUCAUUGCUAGGUUCACGAUUAAGACAAAGGACAGGUU